AUGGAGAAGACGGAGCUGAUCCAGAAGGCGAAGCUGGCCGAACAGGCCGAGCGCUACGACGACAUGGCCACCUGCAUGAAGGCCGUGACCGAGCAGGGCGCCGAGCUGUCCAACGAGGAGCGCAACCUGCUCUCGGUGGCCUACAAAAACGUGGUCGGGGGCCGCAGGUCCGCCUGGAGGGUCAUCUCGAGCAUCGAGCAGAAAACCGACAGCUCGGACAAGAAGUUGCAGCUGAUUAAGCACUAUCGGGAGAAAGUGGAGUCUGAGCUAAGGUCCAUCUGCACCACGGUGCUGGAAUUGUUGGAUCAGUAUUUAAUAGCCAAUGCAACUAAUCCAGAGAGUAAGGUCUUCUAUCUGAAAAUGAAGGGAGAUUACUUCCAGUACCUUGCUGAAGUUGCAUGUGGUGAUGAUCGAAAACAAACGAUAGAUAAUUCCCAAGGAGCUUACCAAGAAGCUUUUGAUAUAAACAAGAAAGAGAUGCAGCCCACACACCCAAUCUGACUGGGGCUGGCUCUUAACUUUUCUGUAUUUUACUAUGAGGUCCUUAAUAACCCAGAGCUUGCCUGCACACUGGCUAAAACAGCUUUUGAUGAGGCCAUUGCAGAACUUGAUACACUGAAUGAAGAUUCAUACAAAGACAGCACCCUCAUCAUGCAGUUGCUUAGAGACAACCUAACAUUAUGGACAUCAGUGCAGGAGAAGAAUGUGAUGCGGCAGAAGGGGCAGAAAACUAAAUGCAUACAGGGUGGUCAUCCUUCUUCCCCUCAAGAAACCUUUUUACUCAUCUCUAUUCCUUAUUCUAUUUGGAUUUCCUAUAGCAAAGAAACCCAUUCUUGUGUAUGGAAUCAACUGUUUAUAGUUUUUUCACACCGCAGCUUUGGGAAAACUCCAUUCCUUGAUUUGUGUUUGUCUUGGCCUUCCUGGUGUGCAGUUACUGCUGUAGAAAAGUAUUAAUAGCUUCAUUUCAUAUAAACAUAAGUAACUUCCAAACACUUAUGUAGAGGACUAAAAAUGUAUCUGGUAUUGAAGUAAUCUGAACCAGUUCUGCAAGUGACUGUGUUUUGUAUUACUAUGAAGAUAUGAAAAUGUAGUCAUUACAAUUUACAAAGUGUUCUACAUAACUUAAUUUCUACAUUCCCUCCCUUACUCUUCUUCAGGGGUUUCCUUUGAGUAAGCAACUUUUCCUUGCUCUUAAUGUAUUCCUUUUUGGUAGGAAUCCAGAAGUAUUCGAUUGAAUGGAAAAGCAUUUGGCAUUUCUGCGCUGGGGGUCACAAAUUGAAAUGCCUCCUGUAUCAUAUAUGAUGGAGGUCUUGUAUAUCUGUGACAACAGGAAAUUUCCUUAUUCAUUCUUCACUGCUGCUGUUUAAGUUGACAACUUCCCUUCCCAAUAAAAAUUCACUUACACCU